rnacentral:rRNA from 1 species
GAGUUUGAUCCUGGCUCAGGACGAACGCUGGCGGCGUGCUUAACACAUGCAAGUCGAGCGGGGACAUUGUUGGAAGGGCUUCGGCCUGGAAGAUGAUGUUCUAGCGGCGGACGGGUGAGUAACGCGUGAGCAAUCUGUCCCGGACAGGGGGAUAACACUUGGAAACAGGUGCUAAUACCGCAUAAGACCACGAGAUCACAUGAUCUUGGGGUAAAAGGAGUAAUCCGGUUCGGGGUGAGCUCGCGUCCGAUUAGCUAGUUGGCGAGGUAACGGCCCACCAAGGCGACGAUCGGUAGCCGACCUGAGAGGGUGAUCGGCCACAUUGGAACUGAGAAACGGUCCAAACUCCUACGGGAGCAGCAGUGGGGAAUAUUGGGCAAUGGGCGAAAGCCUGACCCAGCAACGCCGCGUGAGGGAAGAAGGUUUUCGGAUUG